GAACUCUGCUUCAGUUCCUGCCUCCAGGUUCCUACGCAGACUUCCUGCCUUGACUUCCCUUAAUGAUGGACUGAAAUGUUGAAAUGUAAGCCAAAUAAACACUUUGCUCUCCCAACUUGGAUAGGAUCAUGCUAUUUAUUCAAACAACAGGGAAGCAAAUUAGGGCAGGAAUCCAAGGUUACCCUAGCAAGCUGAAGGCUAGCCUGAGUUAAUGGGACUGUGUUGAAAAACAAGGCUUAGGCAAGUAGUUCAGAGGUACAGUUCUUGUCUGGCAUGCUCAGAGCCCAAAGUCAAUUCCUAGCACUGUGAGAAACAAAAAUGAAUUAACACAACAGCAGGUUUGCAUGUUUGAGUCCCGCCUCAACUACCCUGUGGUAUGAGCCUGAGCUAGCCCCAGAUUGUCUGUCAUGGUAUGGAAAGAGAUUCCCUCAACUUUAGGCAAUUUCUGUUAUAGUUAAAAUAUGUUAGAUGUUGCACGUCGAGGGAAUAUUUUUCAAGCUUUAAAAUGCCACAGACUGUUAACCUGUUUGUUAAGUAACACAUUCAUUGGCCCAUCCACAUAACUCAUUGACAGUUGUCUCCCAGUCAGAUACUUGUGACUUGGAAAAUCAAACUUAAGAACCUGGAAAGGUUGGUAAAUUUCGAAGGCAGAACAAGAGUAAGAAGCGAGUUUUAGAAUCAAAGGUGGUCAGCGUGCUGAGAGGCAUCUCAGGCUGAGGAAAGGCAGGUAAUGUCAAGAAGGAGCAGAAAAGGCUUGGCCGGGGGUCAGAGGCUUGAAGGGCAUGGGAACCCACAUGGUGUAUUGCCCCACCUCUAGAGGAGAGAGAACGAACUACUUCUGUUCUUGAAGACUACAGGAUAGUCCGACAACAUUUUGAUGGAUAAUGAACGAGGGAGCAGGAUUCUCACUCAGAAACCGGCCGUUAUGGUCUCGUUGAUGUCUACUGGAAAACUCACAUCUGUAAACCCUGAGCCCCAGCACGAUGGCAUUUCAAUGACAGGGUCUAACGAAAGUAACUAAGGAUGUACGCAUUCAUGUCCGACAUGAAGAAAGCAGUUUGGACAAGCAAGGACUGUCUCUUUCAUCAAGGAUCACCUCCGGGGUCCUCGAGAAGAGCAGCCGGUGCUCUUAACUGCUGAGCCGCCUCUCCAACCCUUGGACAACAAGACUUUUUAACCAAACUGGAGAAGAAACAGAGGGUCACAGAAUGAUUUUAUUGAUGCCAGACUUUGUCCAUUGAGGGGGGAUUCCAUGUCCUCGGUGAAUGAGGGAUAGCUACAAUCUCCAUCAACUUCAAAGUCUGUGAUCAACCAUGGGGGCAGCGAGGAACACUUCUAAGUCCAGUUCCCCUCACUCAUCCUCCCUGAAUGGCAUAGAGCAAUCCAAGCAGCCACCAGCCCAUUGGGGGUGUACUGUAUAGAAUCAAGCACCUGAAUUCAUGUCCAUUAGAUUUUACACUUGUGGGCAGAAAGGACUCAUAAUCUGGGGGAUAAAACAUUUUAUCCUGAGUGGGACAAAGUGGUACACACGUUUAAUCCUGACACUCAGGAGGCAGAGGCAGGUGGAUCUCUGUGAGUUCAACGCCAACCUGGUCUACUUAGCAUGUGCCAAGACAGUCUGUGCUACGUAGUAAAGCCCUGUUUCAAAAUGGGGGGAAGGGUGUUAUACCAAUCUGCGAUUGCAACUUUUGCGUCCCAAAUACUCAAGUUGAUACAUUAAGAGUUAUGUGAGUGCUGGGAAUUGUCAAGGGGACAACCUAGAAAAGGUUAAGUCUAGCAGAUGGUCUUCCUGGAGGUGGCCCACCAUUUUUGGUAUGGUCUGCAGUGGGUGAGCUCUGAAAGGCAAGGCCCCAAGAGAUUGUUUCUGGCAGCUGAUAUGCCUUUCCUGUUACUAUUACAUAGCCUAAGGAUUCCUGAGCAUUAGCCUACCCCAUUGAUCAGAUUUUCCUGUAGAUCAAAGAUGAGCUUUCAUGAAUUAAUGCUGUUUAGAUGAAUUAAUGAUUUCAUAGAAUUCCUCGUUUGGUUUAAACCAUUUUAGGAAGAAAGUUUUCAAAGAUGGUUUUAGUUAUUUUGCUAGAAAGAGACAAUAAAGUUAGAAGCAAGAAUAGAACCCCCCACCCACCCACCUAUUGUAAGUAGUAAGUAAAGGCUGCAUAAUAAGAAAUACAACGAGCUUACAUAAUUAUGCUAAAAAGAGAUAUAGGCUUGGGACAAAGUUAUGUUCAAGGAAAAACACUCAGGUCCAAGGAUGAAGCCACAGGUGUGCACUGUGAUAAGGCAAGGCUAUGUAAAAACUAUUGCUUUGAACUUAUAAUGAGCUUACAGUAUGAAACACUGAUUUGAACUUGUUAUUGUUACCUUUCUGUAACUCCCCUUUUAUGUAACAUUUUAUCUCUGAGGUAUUUCUUUCUCAUAGAGAACUUUUAGUCUAAAGAGCUGUAAAAAGGCUGAAAGCAAAAAGAAGGGGGAGGGGGUGUAACUGGUAUAUGUGUUGUCUGCAGAAUGACUGCUUUCCUUUCUUUUCUCUCUGGUUCAAAAAGAGUCAACGAGCUCCAAGCCUCUCACCUGGCUAGCUAGAGGCUUCUGGAUGACAGAGAAAGGAGCACUAGCAAUAAAUCCUUUUUUAAAUUCCCCAGCGCUUAUUUAAAUAUUAAGAGUUGAGUUUCUAAGCACGUGCUGAUGCACAGAACAGUAACAAAGAGUUAAGUUUCUCCCGUGCUUAUUCAAGCACAGAGAGUUAAAGAAAAAAAGAAGCCAGCAGUUUUCAGCCACAGAAUAAUCAAGAGAGUGUUAAGUUUCCAAAAAGCUAUCAGUCCCCAGUACACUUAGAGAGAGUUACAAGGCCAGCAACCAUCAAUCUUUUCUCGUUCAUCCAACUUUGUGUUCCACCUCACCUCCAUACCUCAAAAGGCUGGGGCAGGCUCCCAGCAGGGAAUCCAACCUGGGUCUGAUUAACAACGAUAACCCUCGACACACCCUAAUCUUGAACCUAGUAAUAUGGAGCUGUGAACUUGUCCUAUAAACAGAAGGUUUAUGUAAGAAGAACAUUUGGAAAUUUGGGGGUUGGAAGGGAGACCAAGGAAAUUUUGUUAGGAAUAGACACUGAGAAUGUCCCUGAAGGUUUUUGAUAAACUGAACAAGGAUAUCAGGAUACAAAGCCCCAUUCUUUCCUACUAGACCGGACAGAUUCCUGGAACUUGUAAGAUACCCCAAACCAAGGGGUUGGGGAUUUAGCUCAGUGGUAGAGCGCUUGCCUAGCAAGCGCAAG
rnacentral:sRNA from 1 species